UCCCUGGUGGCUCAGACAGUCAAGCAUCUGCCUACAAUGCAGGAGACCCAGGUUCGAUUUCUGGGUCAGGAAG
rfam:Ovis aries breed Texel chromosome 6, whole genome shotgun sequence.